UACGAAGGGUGCAAGCGUUAAUCGGAAUUACUGGGCGUAAAGGGUGUGUAGGCGGUUGUUUAAGUCUGUCGUGAAAUCCCCCGGGCUCAACCUGGGAAUGGCGAUGGAUACUGGACAGCUAGAGUGUGUCAGAGGAUGGUGGAAUUCCCGGUGUAGCGGUGAAAUGCGUAGAGAUCGGGGAUGAACACCCGUGGCGAAGGCGGCUCUCUGGGACGGUACUGACGCUGAGACGCGAAAGCGUGGGGAGCGAACAGG
rnacentral:rRNA from 1 species